rnacentral:rRNA from 1 species
UGAGUAAAGUAUCGGAACGUGCCCAGUCGUGGGGGAUAACGCAGCGAAAGUUGUGCUAAUACCGCAUACGAUCUAUGGAUGAAAGCGGGGGAUCGCAAGACCUCGCGCGAUUGGAGCGGCCGAUAUCAGAUUAGCUAGUUGGUGAGGUAAAGGCUCACCAAGGCGACGAUCUGUAGCUGGUCUGAGAGGACGACCAGCCACACUGGGACUGAGACACGGCCCAGACUCCUACGGGAGGCAGCAGUGGGGAAUUUUGGACAAUGGGCGCAAGCCUGAUCCAGCAAUGCCGCGUGCAGGAUGAAGGCCUUCGGGUUGUAAACUGCUUUUGUACGGAGCGAAAAGGCUCUCUCUAAUACAGGGGGCUCAUGACGGUACCGUAAGAAUAAGCACCGGCUA